rnacentral:rRNA from 1 species
CCUACGGGCGGCAGCAGUGGGGAAUAUUGGUCAAUGGGCGCAAGCCUGACCCAGCAACGCCGCGUGAAGGAAGAAGGCUUUCGGGUUGUAAACUUCUUUUCUCAGGGACGAAGCAAGUGACGGUACCUGAGUAAUAAGCCACGGCUAACUACGGGCCAGCAGCCGCGGUAAUACGUCGGUGGCAAGCGUUAUCCGGUUUUACUGGGUGUAAAGGGCGUGUAGGCGGGACGGCAAGUCAGAUGUGAAAUGCAUGGGCUCAACCUAUGGCCUGCAUUUGAAACUGUAGUGCUUGAGUACUGGGGAGGCAGGCGGAAUUCCUAGUGUAGCGGUGAAAUGCGUAGAUAUUAGGAGGAACACCAGUGGCGAAGGCGGUCUGCUGGAGAGCAACUGACGCUGAGGCGCGAAAGCGUGGGGAGCAAACAGGAUUAGAUACCCGGGUAGUC